ensembl:lncRNA
CGACCCGUCAAUGUGGCGAGCAGGACUCCGGCGCAGAGGAGUCGAGAGGAGCGCUGCAUUCAGGGAGGCUCCGACGCGCUCGUUUCUCCGCGCACGACGCCCCGGAUGGCCGCUUAACCGCCCGCGCGAUCCCUGCUUCACACGCGCGCCGCGUGACGCGACCAAGCGGAUAUUUGCGCUCACUUUUGCCGGAGUCGCAGACAGAAGCGCUACAACAUGAAAUACAAAGGCAGCGGCUGUUUGCUGAAGUGUGAAGUAGCUGCGUUGGCUCAGACGUCGGACUUGAUACAGUUGGGCUUUUGGUGUCCACUGGGCCUUGUGUCACUCCUUAGCAGGGUGCGUUUGUUUGAUAGGAGGGCGUGUGUGUGCGUCAAUGUCCGUACUCACUCAUUGUCCAGGGAGAAGCUGGGAGCAGUCGAGGGGAAAUGAUGUUUUUUUGUGGUGGGCAACGCCAGUGAGGGGAGCGGGGGAACGACCUCCACCGGGGCCCUGUGAUCACCGAUCGGUCAAGUGGAUGAGAAUGAAAGCGAUGGUAUCUGCCCGGGGGAGAUCUGUGACGUGAAAACCGCGUCUGCACCUUCUUUGUUUGCUUUGGGGCGAGAUAAAAGUGGAGAAACCACGCACGCCGCUCUUUGCUUAUGAUAAAUAUAUCUGCGUUAUGCAACGGAGCCAGAGGAAAGAGGCUAAUUGGAUGACGCGUCCUGAUUUUCCGGCGCGUCGGUGGGGAUUUUUCGCGCGUCAGAAUUUCAAACAUCCCAGUUAGAAUCUGUUAAAUAGUGCCAGAGUUCACUAUGUUCUCCCCCAUCGGGUGAAUUAUCCACAGCUAUAUUAAGCGCCCUCACAGAGCGGUAAUGUUACAACAGCGAGACGGGUGGCGCCCCCAGCCAACCCGUCUCAUGUCCUGAGAUGAGCUGUAGUGUGCAGAGGCUCCUCCUACUUUCCAACCUGUGUUCAGGUGUGAAUGAGGAGGCUUGUCUUCCACAGGUCUCCUAAUGCGUGUAAUCCCCCCCGAUGGGUGGCACACAGGCAGAUCUCUUACAGGUCACAGAGGCCCAGAGGUUUUAAAGGUAAAGUUCAACAUUUUGGGUAAAUGGGGUUGUUUUCGACAGGCUGCGAGUCGC